UACGAAGGGGGCUAGCGUUGCUCGGAAUCACUGGGCGUAAAGCGCACGUAGGCGGCUUCUUAAGUCAGGGGUGAAAUCCUGGAGCUCAACUCCAGAACUGCCUUUGAUACUGGCGAUCUUGAGUCCGGGAGAGGUGAGUGGAACUGCGAGUGUAGAGGUGAAAUUCGUAGAUAUUCGCAAGAACACCAGUGGCGAAGGCGGAGCUCACUGGCCCGGUCGUCGGACGCU
rnacentral:rRNA from 1 species